rnacentral:misc_RNA from 1 species
AUAUUCCAGUUGAAAAAUUCGCUUAUUGCCAGUAUGAUUUGGUGAAAGUACUUUUGCAUUUUAUUUCAUUGCUGUGUGGAAUAUGUAACUGCUUUCAAACGGGCCCUGCAUAAAAAAGAUGAUGAGACAAAUUCCCUUCUUGCAUCAUGCCGUGAUGAAUGGAAGUGACCUGCAUAGUGUGAGGAUUGUUCAAGCAUUUCUUUUGUGAUUUUUUU